rnacentral:rRNA from 1 species
CCUACGGGAGGCAGCAGUGAGGAAUAUUGGUCAAUGGCCGGAAGGCUGAACCAGCCAUGCCGCGUGAAGGUCAGUGCCCUAUGGGCGUUAAACUUCUUUUGUGCGGGAGCAAUAAUGGUCACGUGUGGCCAGACGAGAGUACCGUACGAAUAAGCAUCGGCUAACUCCGUGCCAGCAGCCGCGGUAAUACGGGGGGUGCAAGCGUUAUCCGGAUUUAUUGGGUUUAAAGGGUGCGUAGGCUGUGAGGUAAGUCAGCGGUGAAAUGCCCCCGCUCAACGGGGUGAAGUGCCAUUGAUACUGCCUGGCUGGAAUGCGGAUGCCGUGGGAGGAAUGUGUGGUGUAGCGGUGAAAUGCAUAGAUAUCACACAGAACACCGAUUGCGAAGGCAUCUCACGAAUCCGCGAUUGACGCUGAUGCACGAAAGCGUGGGUAUCAAACAGGAUUAGAUACCCCAGUAGUC